GGUGGAGCGAUUUGUCUGGUUAAUUCUAAUAAUGAAUGAGACCUCAACCUGCUAACUAGCUACGCAGAGGUUCCCCUUCGUGGCCAACUUCUUAGAGGGACUAUGGCCAUUUAGGCCAUGGAAGUUUGAGGCAAUAACAGGUAUGUGAUACCCUUAGAUGUUCUGGGCUGCACGCGCGCUACACUGAUGCAGUCAAUAAGUUUUUCUCCCUGGUUCAAGAGGAUCAGGAAAUCUUCUCAAAUUGCAUCGUGAUGGGGAUAGACCAUUGCAAUUAUUGGUCUUCAGCGAGGAAUUCCUAGUAAGUGCAUGUCAUCAGCUCGUGUUGACUACGUCCCUGCCCGUCUCUCCUACCGAUUGAAUGAUCCGGUGAAGUGUUUGGAUUGUGUUAAUGAGGGUGGUUCUCCACCGACGAUGUCGUGAGAAGUUCACUGAACCUUAUCAUUUAGAGGAAGGAGAAGUCAUAACAAGGUUACCGUAGGUGAACCUACGGUAGGAUCAUUG
rnacentral:ncRNA from 1 species